GUUCAAGUGAGUAAUAGCAUCAGAUAUUCUGUCGAGAGAGAUGAGGGCUUCUGCAGCAUAUAAAUGGCCCAAAAACCUAAAACAAAAAAGCAGAUUCCACACUGAAAAAAGUAGGUCCUCACAAAAUAUCAAAUGUAUAAAUAGUUAUAUUUAACUCUUUAACUAUAAGCCACACAAUAAAUGGAAAAAGUAACUGUCAAUGCUAAGAGCAUGGUAGAGUGUGCCUGUCUAGAAGCAAGGUCUCAAAUUCAAACCAACUAUCACCAAACAAACUCCUAAGGCAAAACAAAACAAAAACUCCUCUAAAUGUUAAGUAGCUUUAGAUUCAAUUUUCAGAAUCAGCAUUAUAUAACAAAUUUAAAGCAUACUACUUUUCCCUUACAACAGAAAAGAUGACAAUACUGUUAUUACUGCAGAAGUAUCUGGACAGCCUAAACAAAACUGUCCUGCAGUCGUGACAUGGUGCAGUGGCUUGGGAGAGCACAAAGGUCCUGUUUAUUUAAACUGCGCUCUUUGAAGCAGAU